CAGUUCAAUGGAUGCUCAAUUGAGGUGGAGAGGAAAAAAAUCACAACAGGAAAAUUGCAGAGCUUGGCAAUUCCUCAGUAUGACAAGGUCCCAUUUCUCAUAGAUCCACCAGCAAAUCAAACCAGGUGUGUCCCUAGAGUCUGAUAACAGAGGACUGACCUUCCUAUUCUUAUACUCAUCACGUGAUUAAGGAAGUCAAAGAACCCGCCAAAGUGUUGCUGUAGGUGAAAGACAGAAGAAAUACUGGCUAAGAUUGACACAAGAAGAUGAGGUUCUGGUGAAUUCAUCACCAGAUUGAGGAAGUGAAGUUUUGUAACCCUAAGGUCAACACCACAUUUAGUGCUGAAAUUGCCUCCAAAUCCUUUCUGAUAAGUGACCUCCAGCCUCUGGCACUCUCUUAGCCUACUGCCAAACUCACUGUUAUUCUGGAGUUGAACAGCUCCGCCUCUAAUGUGACUCAUAUUUUCCAUUAAGUCAUUUCCUUUCUGACUCAUACCAACAGCCAAUUCCUUUACUGAACACUUAGCAAAGGAGUUUUCUGACAUCCACUUAUAUAAAGUCAUGUCACCAUGAAACUGACUUUUCACACGAGUAUGCCUUUUGUCUCCCCCAAAACUUAUUAUUUAUUGAAUACACGAGUAGAAGAGCUGAAUACCUUCGGGCUGUGGAAUGUGGAAACGGUAAUCAGCACCUUUCCAUCCUGAACAGUAAUCAACACCCUUGUCAUCAGAAGCUUGAGACCUCUGAAGCUAAAGAAGAAAACAGCUACAAUAUGUAAUUGUGGUAAAAGGAAUUAGUGUACAGAUAUUUAUCCUCCUGUCCCUCUACCAUGGGGGAUUCUCUUCACUCCAGGAAUGCUAAUCUUGCCAUGUGACUUGCUUUGGCCAGUGGAAUUUGAGUGGUCUUAAAAUGUGCCACAGUGAUCAGUCAUGUUAAAAUGUGCUGUGUUGCUUGGCUCGGUUGCUCUCACUUUUCUCUUCUGCUUACAAGAUUAAGCACAUCUCAAGUCAGUUUUUCCUUCAGCCUAGAACAAUGAUGAAGACACAUAGAGUACAUGUGAAUCUAACUCACGGCCUCAAGUAUAGCUGGAUCCUAGUGUCCCUAUAACAUGAACAAGGAAAACUGUUAUUUUUUCAGUGAACCAAUGAGAUUUGGGAGUUGUUUCAUAGCCUAACCCAGGGAAAGCCGAUUGCUGAAGUUGUGAGCUCAAGAUUUCUUGCACUUCAGCUUAUGACAGGUCAAGACUGAGUAAGGAAAAGAAAAUGCACUGUUUUCUUCUAGUAUAUCCAAAAAAUGAUUCUAGAUUUCACCUAUCUUUCUACUUUUAUCUCCUUAUGCAAACUCAUAAUUGAACUCUGUCAGUUCUUUUUAAAAGAAUCUUUCCUACACACUUUUCAUGAAGGCCUGCUUCUACAACCACAUUUUCUAUUUUCACUGUGUGACCCUUUUCUUUCCUCAAUAAUAAUUAAACGUUUCUUCACUUCUAAGAAAAGAACAAAGAAACCUGAUGGUCUCUGAAAAAGCACCUCCAGGCUCAAGCUGUUGUGUCACAACUUGCCUCAUAGACAAAUUUAACAAUUUGUUAAAAAAAAAAAUAUCCACUCUCCCGGAGUAUAACUUCCCACACACUGACUGUGAGAACGGCCAUCUACACCACCUUGGUCAAUAGGCUAUUAAGCAGACAUGGUUCAAGGAGGAGCUUGAGGUUUGCUUAUGCAGUGGAGCUUGCUGUCUUCUGACUCUGCUACACCCUAAGAAUGUGCCCUGGUUAGCCCGCUGGCCCAGGAAGGAUGAGGGAAAAGUGGAGGAAAGCUGCCUGAUUAACUUGCAGCUUGAAGCAGAGCCUCACAGCCAAGUCCAGCUCAGAUCAGUUCCUCAGCUGACCUUCAGAUGCAUAAGCCGUCCAACUGAGAUCAGUGGUCAUCUCAGCCAAUCUCCAGGAGUCUAGCUGUGGAUCCAUCACAUGAGUGAAGCUGGUUCCUGACCCAAAUACAAAUCUGUGGUCCUCUGCAGUUACAAAAAGAGACAUCUACAGCAUUAGCUGCAUGUCAGUACUUCUGUGAGUCUGUACUGGGGGCUCUGGUUAAAAUUGAGGUAUCUUAGAUAUGUAAUGACUGACUAAUAGCCACUCAUAAUAGCAUUUUAAUUUUUGCUCAUGUCCCUUUGCUUGCUUCCUGAUUUAAUCAAUUAUUGGAGUAUAUGAGAUCUAAACUUGUUAUCUCUCCUAUAUUGAUACUAGAUACCUGACCUCUCUUCUAAGGUAACUCUUGUAAUAAUGGAGUUGUACCAAAACUUAGGGUCAUCACUGUUUUCACAUAUAAGCUGCUGACUCCAAAUGUAAUGAUGGCUAUUAUUUCUCUUUACUGUCUCAUCUCACUGGUGUCAGCUGCUUCCUGGAAAGAAAUACUCUAUGUUGUGUCAGAUUGUAGCCAGAAGUGGAAACCUAAGUGAGUGUUGGGUGUUAUUUAACCCAUAAAUCAUCCAUGAAUAAAAUCUCCCAUGAGUGGUCCUG
rnacentral:lncRNA from 1 species